rnacentral:rRNA from 1 species
GUGGGGAAUAUUGCACAAUGGGCGAAAGCCUGAUGCAGCGACGCCGCGUGAGGGAUGACGGCCUUCGGGUUGUAAACCUCUUUCAGCAGGGAAGAAGCGCAAGUGACGGUACCUGCAGAAGAAGCACCGGCUAACUACGUGCCAGCAGCCGCGGUAAUACGUAGGGUGCGAGCGUUGUCCGGAAUUAUUGGGCGUAAAGAGCUCGUAGGCGGCCUGUCGCGUCGGAUGUGAAAGCCCGGGGCUUAACCCCGGGUCUGCAUUCGAUACGGGCAGGCUAGAGUGUGGUAGGGGAGAUCGGAAUUCCUGGUGUAGCGGUGAAAUGCGCAGAUAUCAGGAGGAACACCGGUGGCGAAGGCGGAUCUCUGGGCCAUUACUGACGCUGAGGAGCGAAAGCGUGGGGAGCGAACAGGAUUAGAAACCCUAGUAGUCC